UACGUAGGGCGCAAGCGUUGUCCGGAAUCAUUGGGCGUAAAGAGCUCGUAGGUGGUCUGUUACGUCUGCUGUGAAAACCUAGGGCUUAACCCUGGGCCUGCAGUGGAUACGGGCAGACUAGAGGUAGGUAGGGGAGAAUGGAAUUCCCGGUGUAGCGGUGAAAUGCGCAGAUAUCGGGAGGAACACCGGUGGCGAAAGCGCUCUACUGGGCCAUAACUGACACUCAGGGACGAAAGCUAGGGGAGCGAAUGGG
rnacentral:rRNA from 1 species